CGUAGAGAAAUCGAGUCUUAAUAGGGCGUUUAGUUGCUGGGUAUAGACCCGAAACCAGGCGAUCUAUCCAUGAGCAGGUUGAAGGUUGGGUAACACUAACUGGAGGACCGAACCCACUGUCGUUGAAAAGCCAGGGGAUGACUUGUGGAUAGGGGUGAAAGGCUAAUCAAGCCUGGUGAUAGCUGGUUCUCCCCGAAAGCUAUUUAGGUAGCGCCUCGGACGAAUACCAUAGGGGGUAGAGCACUGUUUCGGCUAGGGGGUCAUCCCGACUUACCAAACCGAUGCAAACUCCGAAUACCUAUGAGUACUAUCCGGGAGACAGACUGCGGGUGCUAACGUCCGUAGUCAAGAGGAAAACAAUCCAGACCGCCAGCUAAGGCCCCAAAAUCAUAGUUAAGUGGGAAACGAUGUGGGAAGGCAUAGACAGCUAGGAGGUUGGCUUAGAAGCAGCCACCCUUUAAAGAAAGCGUAAUAGCUCACUAGUCGAGUCGGCCUGCGCGGAAGAUGUAACGGGGCUAAAACUAUGUGCCGAAGCUGCGGAUGUAUACUUUGUAUAC
rnacentral:rRNA from 1 species